AGGGGAUGUAGCUCACAUGGUAGAGCGCUCGCUUUGCAUGCGAGAGGUACGGGGUUCGAUACCCCGCAUCUCCAUUAUUUUUAUCUUAAACAAAAUUUUCGGUAUUCAACGGAAUCAAUCAUCUGUAAAUUGUCAUAAGCACCCGCACGUUCUCUCUCUCUUUUAGGACUAAAAUAUAUUAACUACAAGGGGGUGUAGCUCACAUGGUAGAGCGCUCGCUUUGCAUGCGAGAGGUACGGGGUUCGAUACCCCGCAUCUCCAUUA
rnacentral:tRNA from 1 species